UAGAGUAAGGUGUAUUUGCAUUUUAAGCCGUUAACUUAAAGGAUAGACUUGUCUAUGCUCUAG
rnacentral:tRNA from 1 species